rnacentral:rRNA from 1 species
UACGUAGGGCGCAAGCGUUGUCCGGAAUUAUUGGGCGUAAAGAGCUCGUAGGCGGUUUGUCGCGUCUGCUGUGAAAACCUAAGGCUCAACCUUGGGCUUGCAGUGGGUACGGGCAGACUAGAGUGCGGUAGGGUGACUGGAAUUCCUGGUGUAGCGGUGGAAUGCGCAGAUAUCAGGAGGAACACCGAUGGCGAAGGCAGGUCACUGGGCCGCAACUGACGCUGAGGAGCGAAAGCAUGGGGAGCGAACAGG